rnacentral:rRNA from 1 species
CCUACGGGCGGCUGCAGUGGGGAAUAUUGGACAAUGGGGGGAACCCUGAUCCAGCCAUGCCGCGUGUGUGAAGAAGGCCCUCGGGUUGUAAAGCACUUUCAGUGAGGAAGAACGCCUGGUGGUUAAUACCCAUCAGGAAAGACAUCACUCACAGAAGAAGCACCGGCUAACUCCGUGCCAGCAGCCGCGGUAAUACGGAGGGUGCGAGCGUUAAUCGGAAUUACUGGGCGUAAAGCGCGCGUAGGUGGCUUGAUAAGCCGGUUGUGAAAGCCCCGGGCUCAACCUGGGAACGGCAUCCGGAACUGUCAAGCUAGAGUGCAGGAGAGGAAGGUAGAAUUCCCGGUGUAGCGGUGAAAUGCGUAGAGAUCGGGAGGAAUACCAGCGGCGAAGGCGGCCUUCUGGACUGACACUGACACUGAGGUGCGAAAGCGUGGGUAGCAAACAGGAUUAGAUACCCGAGUAGUC